ensembl:lncRNA
CAGCAUUUUAUCGGAGAGCAGCUUAUGGAGUAGAGUCAUUAGUCUCAUGUCACAGAUAGGGAAAGGGAUGGUGAUACAAAGAGUGAAUGGCCUUUCCUAAUGCUACCAAGAAGAAGAGUGCCAGAGUCUUACCACCCAGGCUCUGCAAGGACCAAGAUAACGGCAAAAAUGAGGCCAGCAGAGAUGACCAUCUUUACAGACUCCCACGGCACCCAGCAUGACCCAUUAAAAAUCAGCUCCAGACCGGGCGGAAGAAAAACCUACUGCCAAAAAGGGAAUAAAACUGUUUCCCACCCCCUGCUUGGCC